rnacentral:rRNA from 1 species
GGUGACCUAGCCGUGGAGAGCACACGAGUGAGAAUGCAGGCAUGAGUAGCGAAUGAGGAGUGAGAAACUCCUCCACCGAAAGACCAAGGGUUCCAGGGUCAAGCUAAUCUGCCCUGGGUGAGUCGGGACCUAAGGCGAGGCCGACAGGCGUAGUCGAUGGACAACGGGUUGAUAUUCCCGUACCGGCGCUAGCACGAUCCUGCCGAGGCGAGCGAUGCUAAGCACGCAAGUCGCACGGAGCCUUCGGGUGAUGUGUCGAUGAGUCUGCGAACCAGACUUGUAUUAGGCAAGCUGCGGAGGGACGCAGGAAGGUAGCUCAACCCGGGCGAUGGUAUCCGCAAGGUGAUCCCGGGCUAAGUGUGUAGGGCGAGUCGUAGGUAAAUCCGCGGCUCAUGAUGCCUGAGACAUGAUGGCUGGUCGGUCUACGGACCGGCGAGUGAGUGAUCCUAUGCUGCCUAGAAAAUCUUCGUGAGCGAGUUCUAGAGCCGCCCGUACCCUAAACCGACACAGGUGGUCAGGUAGAGAAUACCAAGGUGAUCGAGAUAACCGUGGUUAAGGAACUCGGCAAAAUGCCCCCGUAACUUCGGGAUAAGGGGGGCCGGACGCGUUAGCGAAAUUCCUUGUCGGGUAAGUUCCGACCUGCACGAAUGGCGUAACGACUUGGGCGCUGUCUCGACCACGGACUCGGCGAAAUUGCACUACGAGUAAAGAUGCUCGUUACGCGCAGCAGGACGGAAAGACCCCGGGACCUUCACUAUAGUUUGGUAUUGGUGUUCGGUACAGCUUGUGUAGGAUAGGUGGGAGACUGUGAAGCGGCGACGCCAGUUGUCGUGGAGUCAACGUUGAAAUACCACUCUGGUUGUUCUGGAUAUCUAACCUAGGUCCAUUAUCUGGAUCAGGAACAGUGCCUGAUGGGUAGUUUGACUGGGGCGGUCGCCUCCCAAAAGGUAACGGAGGCGCCCAAAGGUUCCCUCAGCCUGGUUGGCAAUCAGGUUUCGAGUGUAAGUGCACAAGGGAGCUUGACUGUGAGAGGGACACCUCGAGCAGGGACGAAAGUCGGGACUAGUGAUCUGACGGUGGCAUGUGGAAGCGCCGUCACUCAACGGAUAAAAGGUACCCCGGGGAUAACAGGCUGAUCUUGCCCGAGCGUCCAUAGCGACGGCAUGGUUUGGCACCUCGAUGUCGGCUCGUCGCAUCCUGGGGCUGGAGUCGGUCCCAAGGGUUGGGCUGUUCGCCCAUUAAAGCGGCACGCGAGCUGGGUUUAGAACGUCGUGAGACAGUUCGGUCCCUAUCCGCUGCGCGCGUAGGAGUCUUGAGGAGGGCUGUCCUUAGUACGAGAGGACCGGGACGGACGAACCUCUGGUGUGCCAGUUGUCCUGCCAAGGGCACGGCUGGUUGGCUACGUUCGGAAGUGAUAACCGCUGAAAGCAUCUAAGCGGGAAGCACGCUCCAAGAUGAAGGCUCCCACAGGAUAGCCUGGUAAGGCCCCCAGCAGAACACUGGGUGAUAGGUCGGAUGUGGAAGCACAGCAAUGUGUGGAGCUGACCGAUACUAAUAGGCCGAGGGCUUGUUCCUACAA